CCUACGGGUGGCAGCAGUGAGGAAUAUUGGUCAAUGGCCGGAAGGCUGAACCAGCCAAGCCGCGUGAAGGACGAAGGUGCCAAGCAUUGUAAACUUCUUUUGUCAAGGGACAAAAUCAGGCUCGAGAGCCUGACCGAGGGUACUUGAAGAAAAAGAAUCGGCUAACUCCGUGCCAGCAGCCGCGGUAAUACGGGGGAUGCGAGCGUUAUCCGGAUUGAUUGGGUUUAAAGGGUGCGUAGGCGGACUGUUAAGUCAGCGGUAAAAUCCCGGGGCUCAACCCCGGCGAGCCGUUGAAACUGGCUGUCUUGAGAUGUCGAGAGGUAUGCGGAAUGCGCAGUGUAGCGGUGAAAUGCUUAGAUAUUGCGCAGAACUCCGAUUGCGAAGGCAGCAUACCGGCGGCGAUCUGACGCUGAGGCACGAAAGCGUGGGUAUCGAACAGGAUUAGAUACCCCUGUAGUC
rnacentral:rRNA from 1 species